UCUUUAUAAUGAAACACUUCACAGAUAUAUUUGCUGAUUUCCAUACCAUCAGUCCCUUAUCACUCACAAAAUGAAAAAUUCAACGUUACAAUUUGUCAAGUUAUAUUGUUUGCCAAAGAAAAGCAACUUUUCUCCUGACAUGCUGGGUUUAACGUUCUCCCUUACACUUCCUUCAUUUUAAUUUACGAAGAAAACGUUUUUAAAAUCUGCGUACCUAUAAACUUCAGCUCAUUCUCAAAUAUUUCCUCACGACUUAUACCAUUAUGUAUUGCCAAUAAGCAUGAUUAAC